GUCUAGCAGGAAAGAUAAUUGUUCAUUUUACAGUUUGACCUCAGGUCUAAAGAGUCUGCUUGGGGCUGGCCUUGAAGAAGGAUGCAUCGUCCCUGCUUUCUGGCAAAGGAUUCCAGAUCUAAAAGCCUCUUAUAUGACCAUGAAUUUAGAUCUUGCCUAGAAAACAGCAAGAGUGCAUGAGGGAGCAGCACAUCCCAUCAGUCAUCUGCUAGCAAGAAUUGUCUCCUAAGAAAAUUGAUUUACACAGCAGGAUGUCAAAUGGAUGACAAAGAGAUGGGGUUUCGCUGUGUUGCGAAACCGGGCUGGUCUCAAACUGCUGGGCUCAGGCGAUCCUCCUGCCUCGGCCUCCAAAAGUGCUGGGAUUACAGGUGUGAGCCAUCGAGCUGGCCUGAAGUAAGUUUGCUAAGUUUCCACGGCUGAAACCCACAUCAUCUGGCUCCUAUAAAGAAAUCAAAAAGGUAGGCUAUGUAAUAUAUUGGCAAAGAGGAACAAGCGGUAAAUGAGUGAAGGGUUGUAGACCUUUAAUAGCUAAUAUUGCAGUAAUGCCACCUGUUAGGUCAGGAGAUGAGCACCUUACCUUAAGACGAGGACAACAUCUGGUUGCCUGUGAGAAGGGACAGGCAGGGUAUCAGGUGCUGCACAAAUGUUUAAUGAAUGAGUGAGAUAAGACAGGAGGUAGAAUGAGCAACCUGAGAGAGGGCCUGGUACCCUGUAAGGCGUUUUGAUUCAGCAGAACGAGUAAGGAGAAGCCCUUCCGGAGUGUAACACACCAGCACUAGACCAAGACACCUGGCUCACUGGUCAGCUGCAAAAACUUUCAUACUCAGAUUUUGUUUUUCUCAAUGAUGAGGUCUUAAUAAGGAACAACAAUUCUGCCUCCAAGCAACCCAC
rnacentral:lncRNA from 1 species